rnacentral:rRNA from 1 species
CACUAUCGUUAACUGAAUACAUAGGUUAACGAGGCGAACCGGGGGAACUGAAACAUCUAAGUACCCCGAGGAAAAGAAAUCAACCGAGAUUCCCCCAGUAGCGGCGAGCGAACGGGGAGCAGCCCAGAGUCUGAAUCAGCUUGUGUGUUAGUGGAACGGUCUGGAAAGUCCGACGGUACAGGGUGAUAGUCCCGUACACCAAAAUGCACAGGUUGUGAACUCGAAGAGUAGGGCGGGACACGUGGUAUCCUGUCUGAAUAUGGGGGGACCAUCCUCCAAGGCUAAAUACUCCUGACUGACCGAUAGUGAACCAGUACCGUGAGGGAAAGGCGAAAAGAACCCCGGCGAGGGGAGUGAAAAAGAACCUGAAACCGUGUACGUACAAGCAGUGGGAGCACCUUCGGGUGUGACUGCGUACCUUUUGUAUAAUGGGUCAGCGACUUAUAUUCUGUAGCAAGGUUAACCGUAUAGGGGAGCCGCAGGGAAACCGAGUCUUAACUGGGCGUUAAGUUGCAGGGUAUAGACCCGAAACCCGGU